rnacentral:lncRNA from 1 species
CAAGUCUGCAAGUGUUACAUUACUCCAGGAACAACCUUCGUCUGCAGACUGAUAUUCUUCCAAUGUACUAUUAUAGCCAGUUUCAUUCAUUUCUUGAAAAGAUCGAUGCCUGGGUACAGUUAUUGUAUCUGGCAACAUAGGUACACCAGAAGAUUGUAACUGGUGGGGGCCAGAAGAAGAACAUUCAUUUGCCAACUCUACUUUCUUUCUGCAAACACUGCUUUGGUGGCCUAUCAUUUCUCGCACUGGUGAAGUGAAAUGACUUGAUGAAGGUUCUACCGUAAUCCAUUUGGGAAUUCUUCUUUCAUUAUCUUGUACUAUCACAUCUACUUGAACCUGUACUUUUUCUCGCGCUUUCACAUCAUCUAAAUCCAGAUUCUGGAAGUGAAUGUCUUCAAAUCUUCUUCUCACUGACACUAUCUCAGCAUCGCUUUCUUCACCUGCAGUUUGAUCUGCAGUCCUUUGACUUCUUGCAUGAUGCUUAAAUCGUUUUCUAACCUCCUUGGUUGAUAGAUCUCCCCACUCUUUUGGUCCUUCAGGUGUGUCAUAAGUGAGGGUUUCCAUGGAAAUAAGGAAGUCAUCUUCAAAAGGAUAAUUAUACCUUUCCAAGAUGCUGAGGAUGGACGUCUGGAAGCGGGCAUUGCUCCGCCGCAACCGUUCGUCCAGAUCCAAUGCCAUGACGCGGGAUCCCGAGCGUCCCCAGACUGCGCGGAGCAGUGCAACCCCUCACACCCCGCUG